rnacentral:misc_RNA from 1 species
GAAUUACCUCCCCUGUUUCAUGUUCAGUCAUGUUGUGAUAUUAAAGUUUCCAAGUCGCGAGCCACAUGCAUUUAGUCUUUGUACAACUGCUGGAUAGCUCGGACGUCUACAGAAAUCAAGGCAAGAUGGAGGUUGUUGGUAUAAGGCAGGACGAGUAUGGCGACUUUCAAGCACCGAAGAUAACAUUCACAGACAUCUGCGACCCCAGAUUGGAGCGUGCGAUGUCUGUUGCCAUGGAAACUAAUCAAAUAACACCGCUCCUUAAGGAAGAGUUGCGACUGUCAAUCUUAACGAAGAGGUUUUCUGAGGGGAAGGAAGACAUCCAAGUCCACUUCCCUCAACCCCGAUCAUAUGACCUGACCCCGGCGGAGAUGGAGAAGCGCGAGAAACGGAAGUUGCAGAACAAGAUCGCCGCGCGCAAACACCGCCUCAAGUCCAAGUCCAAGAUGUCCGACAUUCUUGAGGAGUUGCAAAAACAAGAACAGUUAAAAGAAGAGUUGGAGAAAGACUACAACAGGUUAUUCAGCGAGAAACAAGAGAUUCUGUGUAGUCUCUUAGACCAACACAAUGGCGUGGCAGUGUCAUGUGAUCACUGCGAGAACGAGGCUGGAUGUGAACCAAUCAAACUGUUGCUCAACGUCACAGGCACCAUCAACGUGGAAUCAAACGUCUUCACGGUGAUACAGUUGGAUGGCACAAGUCUCCCCGACCCCCGCACACACGCGUCCAUUGAACUUUGACCUGAUGUAGCUUUUGUAUAUAGAUGCUAGCCUGAAAUAUGCUUCAGAAAAGGCUUUUAUUAUUUUAAUGUUAAGCAGAACAUAAUUUGAAGUCAGCCUCCGUUCCGAGGCCCAAACUUUUCAAAUAACUUUGUUGUGUUCGUCGUGUCUUCACCAGGCGUUUUCAUGGUCGUGUAGACCAGGGAGGGACUCAGCCCUCAUAUUACAGCACGACUUGUUUUCUGUUUGAUUGAAAGAUUUUUUCCAAGUAGGUUUGCUCAUCUAUGGAGCAUCUUGACGUAUCGUGGUGUGACGUGGAGGUUGAUGACGUACACCUGGACACUGCUUGAGACUGACGUUAUCUUGACGUAUCGUGGUGUGACGUGGAGGUUGUGUAUGACGUACACCAGCCAGGACGCUGCUUGAGACUGACGUAUCUUGACGUAUCAUGGUGUGACGUGGAGGUUGAUGAUGUUCACCAGGACGCUGCUUGAGACUGACGUAUCUUGGCGUAUCAUGGUGUGACGUGGAGGUUUAUGACGUACAUCAGGUCGCUGCUUGAGACUAAGGUAUCUUGACGUAUCAUGGUGUGACGUGGAGGUUGUGUAUGACGUACACCAGGAUCUGCUUGUGACUGACGUAUCUUGACGUAUCAUGGUGUGACGUGGAGGUUGAAGACGUUCACCAGGAUCUGCUUGAGACUGACGUAUCUUGACGUAUCAUGGUGUGACGUGGAGGUUGAUGACGUUCACCAGGACCUGCUUGAGACUGACGUAUCUUGACGUAUCAUGGUGUGACGUGGAGGUUGAUGACGUUCACCAGGACCUGCUUGAGACUGACGUAUCUUGACGUAUCAUGGUGUGACGUGGAGGUCCAUGACGUACACCAGGACGCUGCUUGAGACUGUGCUGUAACACGGCAUUGGGAGACCACUCCGGUGGUUAAACAGGCAGCAAGAUACGAACUUAGAAUUGCUUUCACAAGACGGGAAUAGGACCACGUGAUCUGUCGCAACUUUCACACUGGCAUCACGCCCGUUCGUCAACAAGACCGUUCAAUUCACAAUAGGGUUAGAGGUUAAUCUGUACAUACUCACCGCACACAAAAGAGCAGUGAUGGCAUUCUGCGUGCUCUAGCCUGUGUUGUUGAGUUGUGUUUUCAUUAUUGUAGUCAUUUGUUACAUGUCCCAUACUGUCAAACUAUAUUAAUUCUGUAUGAGAACGUUCCGGUACAGAUCAAGAACGAUCCUCACUUGUUCUUGAUAUACUCGUAUAAAGUGCUGUAAAACUUGCUGCUUCAACACGUAUCUACGUGGCGUGUGUUUAUAAAGUAUAGCAUUGGGAAUAAAAUGUAUAUCCAUUGGCAUGUUAUAACAGUGCAUAUACACCGGCAUGCUAUGUUUUAACCGCGCGUAUACACCAGCAAGCUGUGUUAUAGCAAUGCCUGGUUGUCAUGGAUCAGCUGGUAAGUGUUUAAAUACGUGCUGUACCUGAAAUCAUUAAGGAUGCUUUAGAGAAUAAAUUUCUUUGUGACAUUCCUAAA